rnacentral:rRNA from 1 species
UGGGGAAUAUUGGACAAUGGGCGAAAGCCUGAUCCAGCCAUGCCGCGUGUGUGAAGAAGGUCUUCGGAUUGUAAAGCACUUUAAGUUGGGAGGAAGGGCAGUUACCUAAUACGUGAUUGUUUUGACGUUACCGACAGAAUAAGUACCGGCUAACUCUGUGCCAGCAGCCGCGGUAAUACAGAGGGUGCAAGCGUUAAUCGGAAUUACUGGGCGUAAAGCGCGCGUAGGUGGGUUGGUAAGUUGGAUGUGAAAUCCCCGGGCUCAACCUGGGAACUGCAUUCAAAACUGACUGACUAGAGUAUGGUAGAGGGUGGUGGAAUUUCCUGUGUAGCGGUGAAAUGCGUAGAUAUAGGAAGGAACACCAGUGGCGAAGGCGACCACCUGGACUAAUACUGACACUGAGGUGCGAAAGCGUGGGGAGCAAACA